GACACUGCCAUGCCAAUUGACGUCAUGGACACCAACGCUCCAAAUGCCGUACAGGACCUUAGAACAUGCACCAUUCAGCACGAGCUACCAGACAGCCCACCACAGCUUGAAACACUGGACAGCUCACAGAAC